AGGGUAUGAUACCGGCUCAGAACUAACGCUUGCGGCGUGACUCAUACAUGCAAGUCGAACGCAAACGUUCCCUUCGGGGAGCUAGUAGCGUGGCGAACGGGCGAGUAAUGCAUAGAUAACCUACCCUAGAGUUCGGGAUAACCCUUCGAAAGGAGGAAUAAUACCGAAUAACAUCUGCGAAUCGCAUGGUUUGCAGAUCAAAGGUGGGGAUCCUUCGGGACCUACCGCUUAAGGAGGGGUUUAUGUCCUAUCAGCUUGUUGGUGAGGUAAUGGCUCCCCAAGGCUUACGGGUAGCCGGCCUGAGAGGGUGACCGGCCGCAUUGGGACUGAGACACUGCCCAGACUCCUACGGGAGGCUGCAUUCGAGAAUCAUUGGCAAUGGGCGAAAGCCUGAUCGUGCGACGCCGCGUGGGUGAUUGAAGGCCUUCGGGUCGUAAAGCCCUGUCACGCUGAUAAGAAGUCCAUUGGAGCGAAUAACUCUGGUGGAUUGACGUAUAGGCGAGAGGAAGCACCGGCUAACUUCGUGCCAGCAGCCGCGGUAAGACGAAGGGUGCUAGCGUUGUUCGGAUUUACUGGGCAUAAAGGGCCCGUAGGCGAUUGUCCAAGUCUACUGUGGAAGACCCCGGCUUAACCGGGGAAGAGCAGUGGAAACUGGAUAGUUAGAGUGCGGAAGGGGAGAGUGGAAUCACUGGUGGAGCGGUGAAAUGCGUUGAUAUCAGUGAGAACGCCGGUGGCGAAAGCGACUCUCUGGUCCGCAACUGACGCUGAGGGGCGAAAGCUAGGGGAGCGAACGGGAUUAGAUACCCCGGUAGUCCUAUUGCUGUAAACGAUGGGCACUACGUAGAGGAGGUUCCAACGCCUUCUCUGCCGAAGCUAACGUAUUAAGUGCCCCGCCUGGGGAGUAUGGUCGCAAGGCUGAAACUCAAGGUAAUUGACGGGGGCUCGCACAAGCGGUGGGGCAUGUUGCUUAAUUCGAAGCUACGCGAAGAACCUUACCAGGGCUUUACAUGCACGGAUUAGGCCCUCGAAAGGGGGUUCGACGCCGCAAGGUGGAACGUGCACAGGUGCUGCAUGGCUGUCGUCAGCUCGUGUCGUGAGAUGUUGGGUUAAGUCCCGUAACGAGCGAAACCCUUAUCCUUAGUUGCCAGCGCGUAAUGGCGGGGACUCUAGGGAGACUGCCCGGAUCAUAACUGGGAGGAAGGUGGGGAUGACGUCAAGUCAGCAUGGCCCUUACGCCCUGGGCUGCAAACGUGCCACAAUAGCCGGUACAAAGGGGACUGAAGCCGCGAGGUGGAAGAAAUCCCAAAAAGCCGGCUCCAGUUCGGAUUGGAGGCUGCAACUCGCCUCCAUGACAGCCGGAAUCGCUAGUAAUAGCGGAUCAGCAACGCCGCGGUGAAUAUGUUCCCGAGCCUUGUACACACCGCCCGUCAAGCCACCCAAGCAGGGCGCACCCGAAGUCGCUGGCCCAACCCGUUUAACCGCGGGAGGGAGGCGCCGAAGGUGUGUCUUGUGAGGAGGACUAAGUCGUAACAAGGUA
rnacentral:rRNA from 1 species